rnacentral:rRNA from 1 species
CAGGCCUAACACAUGCCAAGUCGAACGCCCCGUCAAGGUGGAGUGGCAGACNGGUGANUAACACNCUGGGAACGUCCCCCUCGGUUCGNAAUAACUCAGGGAAACUUGGGCUAAUACCGGAUACGUCCGUAAGGAGAAAGAUUUAUCNCUGAANGAUCGGCCCGCGUCUGAUUANCUAGUUGGUGAGGUAAUGGCUCACCAANGNGACNAUCAGUAGNUGGUCUGAGAGGAUGAUCAGCCUCNCUGGGACUGAGACACGGCCCANACUCCUACGGGAGGCANCAGUGGGGAAUCUUGNACAAUGGGCGCAAGCCUGAUCCAGCCAUGCCGCGUGGGUGAUGAAGGCCCUAGGGUUGUAAANCCCUUUCNGCNGGGAAGAUAAUGACGGUACCCNNAGAAGAAGCCCCGGCUAACUUCGUGCCAGCNGCCGCNGUAAUACA